rnacentral:rRNA from 1 species
CCUGCCGGCGACCGGCGCACGGGUGAGUAACACGUAUGCGACCUGCCCCCGCAGGGGGAUAACCGGGAGAAAUCCCGACUAAUACCGCGUAACGCCGCGGACCUGCAUGGGUCUGCGGCCAAAGGAAGCGAUUCCGGCGGGGGAUGGGCAUGCGGCGCAUUAGCUAGUCGGCGGGGUAACGGCCCACCGAGGCGACGAUGCGUAGGGGUUCUGAGAGGAAGGUCCCCCACACUGGUACUGAGACACGGACCAGACUCCUACGGAAGGCAGCAG